UACGGAGGGUGCAAACGUUGUUCGGAAUUACUGGGCGUAAAGGGCUCGUAGGCGGCCAACUAAGUCGGAUGUGAAAUCCCCAGGCUUAACCUGGGAAUUGCAUCCGAUACUGGAUGGCUUGAAUCCGGGAGAGGGAUGCGGAAUUCCAGGUGUAGCGGUGAAAUGCGUAGAUAUCUGGAGGAACACCGGUGGCGAAGGCGGCAUCCUGGACCGGCAUUGACGCUGAGGAGCGAAAGCCAGGGGAGCAAACGGG
rnacentral:rRNA from 1 species